GACAGGAGAGGAGAAGAGCCGGGGGAAGCCGGGGCACGGCAGAGAGAGACCGGCAGGAGAGAGAUGUUUGUGUGUGUGUGAGAAUCGCGAGGGGUGCCCCGGACCGCCGGCAGCCGCAGCGCCGCGCUCGGGAUGUGCCCGCGGCCGGAGCCGCGCUUACCUCGCGUCCUGCCGGGGCUGCGGCUCGCAGGGCUCGGGGAGGACGAGGAGGAGGAGGAGAGGUCUGUGCCUGGCUCCGGAGCCAGCGAGGGACGGCCGCGGCUCUGCCGGGCUGAUGGAGCCCCCGGGUGCCGCCGUGUCCCCGCUCGGCCCCGGCUCCUGCCCCGGCAGCGCCGAACUUGCCGUCUUUGUCUGCAGCCAGGCUGUCACCGAGUGCCGCAAGCUGCCAUCCACCGCCGCGGGCCGUGCUGCCCCGAGCCCGGCGGCAGGGUGGGCGGGGAGGAGGCGAUGCUUGCUCUGACCUUCGGCAUGGCUUCGGACCCUUAGAUCAUCCCCCCGCUGUCACACAGAGCCGCUGGCCCCGUCCCCUCGUCUGCCACCCCCUGCUUGGGGCUCCAGCAGGGACAGGUGACCGCAGUCACCUUUGCACCUUAGCACUGCCGAUGGAACGGGCAGAGAUGGCAAAUGCCCCGUUCCCUGCCGAUGGCAAACGCCCCGUUCCCUGGGCUGGAGCGGCUCUGGGAAGGACAGUGCCAGGAACAGGUGCUCCCUGGCUGCAGGACUGCACAAGGAUGCAGGUCUCCAAGCUCAUCCCCAUCCUUUCCUCUCCUCUCCAAGCAGCAAAUAAACCUCUGACCACCCUGGAAGAAAA